AGUUUGUCAAAAUACAAACUUUUGGCUUCAAAUGGGUUCUGAAGGGACAUUGUAAAUUGUUAAACGGAGAAGAAAGGAGUAACUAAAACAAUCAGUCUUUCUUUGUAUCAUUUGAAAAUCAUUCAUUGAACCUUGCGAGCGGGACACAAUGCCUCAGUUUAGAAUAUCCCUAUGGCCGACCGGCUUCCACUCCGGAUUCAACUCCUGCCUGAGCUAGGAGUUUGAGUUAGAGCUGCCUGAGUAGCGAAGCACUUUACCGAAUAUAGAGGGUUCAAAGAGGAGAUUGGUUCGGCAGUGGCGAGACUUCGACCUGGAACAGUGCUUUCUCUUCGGCGGCGAGACUGGUUCGGCGAUGGUGAUAAUUGAUGGUUCGAAGGGGAAGGGUUUCGUUCUUCUCUUUUCUUCGAUCCGGAAAAAAUCUUAGUUUGAUGCUUGAGGUAUGUUUGUUAUCGAUUCUUGAGGUAUGCUUGUUUCCACUUGGUUAUUGAUUCUUCUCUUCAAAUUUCUCUGGCUGCCGCCAAACCUCCCUCCGUCCCUUCAUAUGUGAGUCCUCCAUCAGCUCCUCUCUCUUCUCCACCACCCAACUCCAUAAUUCCCCCAAACCGUAAUCCCUCUCUCUCUCUCUCUCUCUCUCUCUCUCUCUCUCUCUUCCUCUCCUUCUAUUCUUCCUUCUCACGACCUCUUUUCAAGCCCAAUUGACCCACUCCCACAACUACGAAGCAUUUCAAUUCCGAUCAUCUACCCAAUCUUUUGAAGCUAAAACCCUAGAUGUGGUCAACAUUGGUCCAGUUUUUCGAAGACAUUACAAUGAUUUUUCGGCUAAUUCUCUUUUUUCAGCAUUGGGGUGUGAAUUGGGGGGGUUAAAUUCCAUGGUGGAGGAUGGAAAAGGUGAGAUUGAGAGCUUGGAGGGUAUGAGUAGGAUUUCCAAUGAAUGGAGGGAGAUUGAUUUGUGUGCCGAUGAGUUCGAUGUGGGGCGGUUGAAUCAGUUACUCGGGAUAAUUAUUUUUUGGAUAGUUGAAAUCCUUGCAGCUUGUUCCAAGCCUAAGAGCAGAAUGAGAUAAUGAAAUUUGGAAGGCUGCUUUAAAUACUCUAGCUACAGCUUAUAAGAUCCUUGGGGAAUUUUGGGGCUUUAUUGGCAUCAAACUGGAAAGGAAGAGAGAAUUAUUUCAAGAUUUGGCUCCACUUUUGUCAAACUCUUUUGGUACUAUCACUGCACUCUUGCAGGCUUCUUCAGAGAUUAUGGAGUAGAUGGUUCUUGCAAGGUUGAAAACUUAUGGAGUUGGGUUGGUUUUGUCGCGUGUUAGGCAAAACCAUUUGAGAGCAAAUUUAUCAUAUUGCGAGAAGUCCAUGAUUUAGAUGGCUGGACUAAGUAUGCUUCACAGGUUUAGUAAUGGCAAUUAUGGUGGCUUUUUACCUUGGUCCUUUGGGCUUGAGGAAAGGCCUGAGUUUUGCGUGAGAUUUAGGUAUUCAGGUGUUUAUGGUUUAGGUUAGAACAAAUGCUCUAGGUGUAUCUUGGAUCUUGAAAAUGAAUCCUCAGGAAUUUGGUGAAAUAGAGCAUUGCUCAAUAUAUGUACUCUGCCUAAUUAUAAGGUUGUUUAAUUAUCAUAUAAUCUCAUAUGAUUGGAUGAUUCAGCCAAAGUCAUAGGCUAUUUGUAAAUGUUGCCCUAAAAUGUUUCACAAAAUAAAACACAAUGGGUCAUUGUUGCCUUGAGCUACAUUU